rnacentral:rRNA from 1 species
AUUGAACGCUGGCGGCAGGCCUAACACAUGCAAGUCGAGCGGAUGAGGGAAGCUUGCUUCCCGAUUUAGCGGCGGACGGGUGAGUAAUGCCUAGGAAUCUGCCUAUUAGUGGGGGAUAGCGUUCCGAAAGGAAUGCUAAUACCGCAUACGUCCUACGGGAGAAAGUGGGGGAUCUUCGGACCUCACGCUAAUAGAUGAGCCUAGGUCGGAUUAGCUAGUUGGUGAGGUAACGGCUCACCAAGGCGACGAUCCGUAGCUGGUCUGAGAGGAUGAUCAGCCACACUGGAACUGAGACACGGUCCAGACUCCUACGGGAGGCAGCAGUGGGGAAUAUUGGACAAUGGGCGAAAGCCUGAUCCAGCCAUGCCGCGUGUGUGAAGAAGGUCUUCGGAUUGUAAAGCACUUUAAGUUGGGAGGAAGGGUUGUAAGCUAAUAUCUUGCAGCUUUGACGUUACCAACAGAAUAAGCACCGGCUAACUCUGUGCCAGCCGCCGCAGUAAGAC